AUGCCAGUUUUGCAAAAGGAGGUUAGCGGCAAAAGGCUUGUGUACGGUUACCUGCGGCGCUACUUCAGCAGUUUCCUGUCUGUCCCUGACGUCCGCCUUGUUACCCUUCCAACACUGGCCCAGCAAGACAAAAAGACCUGCACUGCAUCUUCUGGAAUUGGUUAUGACAUGAGCUGGUAUCUGCUACAACCUGGAAAAACCCCUAAACUCCUGAUCUACGGAACGAGUAACCUUGCAUCUGGAGUUUCAGACCGGUUCAGUGGAACUUCUUCUGGAUAUCAAUUUACGCUGAACAUACGUGGAGUCCAGCCUGAGGAUGAAGGAGAAUAUUACUGUAUGGGGUAUUAUAGUGGCAGGUGCUCACAGUGA